CGGCAGCGGGGGCUUCGGCCUGCCGGCGAGUGGCGAACGGGUGAGUAAUGCAUCGGAACGUGCCCAUGUCGUGGGGGAUAACGUAUCGAAAGGUACGCUAAUACCGCAUACGUCCUGAGGGAGAAAGCGGGGGACUCGCAAGAGCCUCGCGCGAUUGGAGCGGCCGAUGUCGGAUUAGCUAGUUGGUGAGGUAAAGGCUCACCAAGGCGACGAUCCGUAGCGGGUCUGAGAGGAUGAUCCGCCACACUGGGACUGAGACACGGCCCAGACUCCUACGGGAGGCAGCAGUGGGGAAUUUUGGACAAUGGGCGCAAGCCUGAUCCAGCCAUGCCGCGUGAGUGAAGAAGGCCUUCGGGUUGUAAAGCUCUUUCGGCCGGGAAGAAAUCGUGUUCUCUAACAUAGGACAUGGAUGACGGUACCGGACUAAGAAGCACCGGCUAACUACGUGCCAGCCCCCGCGGUAA
rnacentral:rRNA from 1 species